ensembl:rRNA nuclear encoded rRNA 5S 89
AUCUAUGGCCAUACCACCCUGAAUGCACCCAAUCUCGUCUGAUUUUGGAAGCUAAGCAGGGUAAGGCUUGGUUACUACUGGGAGACCAGCAGGUGCUGUAGUCU